GCCUCAUUAGCUCGAUCAGGGGUAGAGCAGUAGUCUCGUAAACUGAAGGUCGUGAGUUCGAAUCUCUCAUGAGGCU
rnacentral:tRNA from 1 species